AUUGAACGCUGGCGGCAGGCCUAACACAUGCAAGUCGAGCGAGCGGCGGACGGGUGAGUAAUGUAUGGGGAUCUGCCUGAUGGAGGGGGAUAACUACUGGAAACGGUGGCUAAUACCGCAUACUAUCGGAUGAACCCAUAUGGGAUUAGCUAGUAGGUGGGGUAAAGGCUCACCUAGGCGACGAUCUCUAGCUGGUCUGAGAGGAUGAUCAGCCAAACUGGGACUGAGACACGGCCCAGACUCCUACGGGAGGCAGCAGUGGGGAAUAUUGCACAAUGGGCGCAAGCCUGAUGCAGCCAUGCCGCGUGUAUGAAGAAGGCCUUAGGGUUGUAAAGCACUUUCAGCGAGGAGGCGUUACUCGCAGAAGAAGCACCGGCUAACUCCGUGCCAGCAGCCGCAGUAAUAC
rnacentral:rRNA from 1 species